rnacentral:rRNA from 1 species
UAGGGAAUCUUCCACAAUGGACGCAAGUCUGAUGGAGCAACGCCGCGUGAGUGAAGAAGGUCUUCGGAUCGUAAAGCUCAGUUGUUGGUGAAGAAGGAUAGAGGCAGUAACUGGUCUUUAUUUGACGGUAAUCAACCAGAAAGUCACGGCUAACUACGUGCCAGCAG